AUUGAACGCUGGCGGCAGGCCUAACACAUGCAAGUCGAGCGAGCGGCGGACGGGUGAGUAAUGUAUCGGGAACUGCGCGCUGGAGGGGGAGAACUACUGGAAACAGUAGCGAAUACCGCCUACUAUCGGAUGAACCCAUAUGGGAUUAGCUAGUAGUGGGGGUAAAGGCUCAACUAGGCGACGAUCUCUAGCUGGUCUCAGAGGAUGAUCAGCCACACUGGGACUGGGACACGGCCCAGACUCCUACGGGAGGCAGCAGUGGGGAAUAUUGCACAAUGGGCGCAAGCCUGAUGCAGCCAUGCCGCGUGUAUGAAGAAGGCCUUCGGGUUGUAAAGUACUUUCAGCGGGGAGGCGUUACCCGCAGAAGAAGCACCGGCUAACUCCGUGCCAGCAGCCGCGGUAAUUC
rnacentral:rRNA from 1 species